rnacentral:rRNA from 1 species
GACGGAAGGUGCAAACGUUGUUCGGAAUCACUGGGCUUAAAGGGCGCGUAGGCGGGCCAGCCAGUCCGGGGUGAAAGCUUUCGGCUUAACCGGAAAAGUGCCUUGGAUACUGCUGGUCUGGAGGGAGGUAGGGGCCGUGGGAACUUCCGGUGGAGCGGUGAAAUGCGUUGAUAUCGGAAGGAACGCCGGUGGCGAAAGCGCACGGCUGGACCUCUUCUGACGGCUGAGGCGCGAAAGCCAGGGGAGCGAACGGG